rnacentral:rRNA from 1 species
GCCUACGGGAGGCAGCAGUGGGGAAUAUUGGGCAAUGGACGCAAGUCUGACCCAGCAACGCCGCGCGAAGGAAGAAGGCUUUCGGGUUGUAAACUUCUUUUAAGGGGGAAGAGCAGAAGACGGUACCCCUUGAAUAAGCCACGGCUAACUACGUGCCAGCAGCCGCGGUAAUACGUAGGUGGCAAGCGUUGUCCGGAUUUACUGGGUGUAAAGGGCGUGCAGCCGGAGAGGCAAGUCAGAUGUGAAAUCCACAGGCUCAACCCGUGAACUGCAUUUGAAACUGUUUCCCUUGAGUGUCGGAGAGG